rnacentral:rRNA from 1 species
GACGAACGCUGGCGGCGUGCUUAACACAUGCAAGUCGAACGGAAAGGCCCUGCUUUUGUGGGGUGCUCGAGUGGCGAACGGGUGAGUAACACGUGAGUAACCUGCCCUUGACUUUGGGAUAACUUCAGGAAACUGGGGCUAAUACCGGAUAGGAGCUCCUGCUGCAUGGUGGGGGUUGGAAAGUUUCGGCGGUUGGGGAUGGACUCGCGGCUUAUCAGCUUGUUGGUGGGGUAGUGGCUUACCAAGGCUUUGACGGGUAGCCGGCCUGGGAGGGUGACCGGCCACAUUGGGACUGAGAUACGGCCCAGACUCCUACGGGAGGCAGCAGUGGGGAAGAUUGCACAAUGGGCGGAAGCCUGAUGCAGCAACGCCGCGUGCGGGAUGACGGCCUUCGGGUUGUAAACCGCUUUCGCCUGUGACGAAGCGUGAGUGACGGUAAUGGGUAAAGAAGCACCGGCUAAAUACGUG